rnacentral:rRNA from 1 species
UUAGCGGCGGACGGGUGAGUAACACGUGGAUAACCUACCUAUAAGACUGGGAUAACUUCGGGAAACCGGAGCUAAUACCGGAUAAUAUUUUGAACCGCAUGGUUCAAAAGUGAAAGACGGUCUUGCUGUCACUUAUAGAUGGAUCCGCGCUGCAUUAGCUAGUUGGUAAGGUAACGGCUUACCAAGGCAACGAUGCAUAGCCGACCUGAGAGGGUGAUCGGCCACACUGGAACUGAGACACGGUCCAGACUCCUACGGGAGGCAGCAGUAGGGAAUCUUCCGCAAUGGGCGAAAGCCUGACGGAGCAACGCCGCGUGAGUGAUGAAGGUCUUCGGAUCGUAAAACUCUGUUAUUAGGGAAGAACAUAUGUGUAAGUAACUGUGCACAUCUUGACGGUACCUAAUCAGAAAGCCACGGCUAACUACGUGCCAGCAGCCGCGGUAAUACGUAGGUGGCAAGCGUUAUCCGGAAUUAUUGGGCGUAAAGCGCGCGUAGGCGGUUUUUUAAGUCUGAUGUGAAAGCCCACGGCUCAACCGUGGAGGGUCAUUGGAAACUGGAAAACUUGAGUGCAGAAGAGGAAAGUGGAAUUCCAUGUGUAGCGGUGAAAUGCGCAGAGAUAUGGAGGAACACCAGUGGCGAAGGCGACUUUCUGGUCUGUAACUGACGCUGAUGUGCGAAAGCGUGGGGAUCAAACAGGAUUAGAUACCCUGGUAGUCCACGCCGUAAACGAUGAGUGCUAAGUGUUAGGGGGUUUCCGCCCCUUAGUGCUGCAGCUAACGCAUUAAGCACUCCGCCUGGGGAGUACGACCGCAAGGUUGAAACUCAAAGGAAUUGACGGGGACCCGCACAAGCGGUGGAGCAUGUGGUUUAAUUCGAAGCAACGCGAAGAACCUUACCAAAUCUUGACAUCCUUUGACAACUCUAGAGAUAGAGCCUUCCCCUUCGGGGGACAAAGUGACAGGUGGUGCAUGGUUGUCGUCAGCUCGUGUCGUGAGAUGUUGGGUUAAGUCCCGCAACGAGCGCAACCCUUAAGCUUAGUUGCCAUCAUUAAGUUGGGCACUCUAAGUUGACUGCCGGUGACAAACCGGAGGAAGGUGGGGAUGACGUCAAAUCAUCAUGCCCCUUAUGAUUUGGGCUACACACGUGCUACAAUGGACAAUACAAAGGGCAGCGAAACCG